GGGUAAACAUUUACCUGUGGAGUUGCAGUUCUACCAGUUACUCUCUAUUGUCUGCAAAUACCUUUGGAAAAGUUCUUACAUUGUUGGAGUUGGCUUUUGUGUAACACGUUGGAAGAUAAGCUAAUGCAGAAGGCACUGGAUUUUUUCCUCUUAGAAGUAGGCAUGACAGCAGCUACAUUCAGGGUCAAAAGGAUCUGCUCUGAGUCAUCCUUCUCCAAGGAAAGCAUCUAUCUUUGCCUACUCUUCCCUUCUGUUCUUUAUGAAAGUCCUUCAAUUUUCAGUCUUUUGAAACCUUGGUUUCCCACAGCAAGAAGUCUCAGAGGCCUUUGCUGGUGCAUUUCCAAAGCAGAUGCCUGGUGAACAAGAAAUUGCAGCAGGGGAUAUCUCUUUGCUUCUCUUGGCUACUGAAAAAGAAAGAGCUGCAUCAGAAGAGAUGUCCUGAAAUAUGAUAGAAGAUAGUGGAGAGAGGUUGAAGGGUGAAUGAAAGCUUUUGUUUCAAAAGGACAGGUACAUCCUGACACACUUCCUGCUGUUGGCUGUAGAAAAUGACUUCAGGAACUGUGGAGACAAGUGUUAUGAUGAAGGUCCUUAGACUCAUUCCUGCCUGCACUGAACACUGAACAUUUCUCUGGGAGCCUCAGAGACAGAGUUAGAGCAGUGAACAGAGAAUGUCUUCCAUUCCUUAAAAGAAAAAUGGACUUAGCAGAGCCACUGUUAGAGUCUGAGAAUCAGCUUGUCAUGGCUCAGAAGCAAAGGGAGAGAUGAAACCAAAGCCUCCUCCAGCAUAUCUCAUCCCAACUCUCAUCUCUCUUCUCAGUAUCAAACUGUAUUGUCUUAAUCUGGAUUUGUGAUUUAUUUGUGAACUAUCUGGCGGGUGGCAGAGGUGGGGAACAAAGCUGCACAAAGCUCCCCAGAGCUGCUGACCGAGGUAAAUAGUGUGUCAUAGCACAUUUAUCAAAUAAUAAUGGAAACCAUAUAAAACAUAUAGGAGAGGGAGGGGGGAAACCCAUUCCCCUCUGGGAAGUUACUGAAUAUUUCAGCCGGUUUAUAAAAGUAUGUGUACGUGUGUUUGCAAUGGGGGAGGUUUUCCUAGCUUCACCUCUGCAAAUAAAUCAUUGGUCUAGGAUGUCUGAGCAGACAAGUGAAAUGGAUGAGCACAUUAUGGAUCAAGGAGGUGGUAUUCCUGCCUUGGUUAGUCUGAGGGAGACCACCCAAGCACUGUGAGACUGUGAUGAGACAGUAAGUUGCGCCUGUGGAGUUCCAAAAUGCUCAAGCUUCAGCCUCUGGCAUGGUAGGAAAGUGGUGAAUAAAAUUAAAGAAAUGGUAUUUCUCAAACAGCUGGCACAACUAGUCAUUUACCUGAACAGGCUUUUUUACUAAUACUUUUUUCCCCCUUUUAUUAUAUUGCUGAUGUAGGUAAAAAUGGAAAAAAAAAAAAGAAGAAAAAAAUGUGUCAAAAGUGUAAUAGUGAUGCCUGUUAUGCCUGUUUUGGAAAUACAUUCCUGUCCAGAUACCAUUAAAAAAGAA
ensembl:lncRNA